UACGACUACAUAUCAGGCAUAUCAAUAAGCGGAGGAAAAGAAACUAACUAGGAUUCCCUUAGUAACGGCGAGUGAAGCGGGAAGAGCUCAAAUUUGAAAUCUUCAAGGUUCUACCUUGACGAAUUGUAGUUUAAAGAAGUGUUUUCUGUUGGAGUUUUGGUAAAAGUUCUUUGGAAUAGGACAUCAUAGAGGGUGAGAAUCCCGUAUUUGACCAUUCUUCCAGCUGUGUGAUACACUUUCAAAGAGUCGGAUUGUUUGGGAAUGCAGUCCAAAAUGGGUGGUAAAUUUCAUCUAAAGCUAAAUAUUGGCGAGAGACCGAUAGCGAACAAGUACCGUGAGGGAAAGAUGAAAAGAACUUUGAAAAGAGAGUUAAACAGUACGUGAAAUUGUCAAAAGGGAAGCGUUUGACACCAGUGUUGUUUUCUCGAAAAUCAAUUAAAAAAGAUUGGAUUUUGUGUUGUAUUGACUUUAUCAGCUUUCUGCACUUUUUUCUUGUCUUUUUUAAUGCACUUUUCGUUUAACAAGUCAACAUCAAUUUCUUUUGUUGUAAAAGAGGUCAUUGGAAGGUGGCUUUCACUUCGGUGAAAGUGUUUAUAGCCUUUGACUUCUGCAAUCGGAGAGAUUGAGGUCUGCAGCGUAGAUCCUUCGGGGUUAGAUACAUUUGUGCUAAGUUAUAGCCUUUUCAUAGACAACAUUGUUGACUAUGAUCAGUCAUGUAGCUUACUCGCUUGUAUGUAUUUUACCUACGCUUAGGAUGUUGACGCGCGUGUGUGCGUG
rnacentral:rRNA from 1 species